UUUAAAAUGUCCUGCCACCCUUUACUCUUUCGUUUCAAUGAUGCGAUUGCGCUCAAUUUAUCUUAUUAAGUUGUGUUUUAUGCUGUUUUAUACCGUUUUAUAAUGUUUAGACAUCGAUUCCUAAUUUGCGGAAAAAAACAGGAUCUAAACAAAAUUGUGCGACUAAUUUCCCACAUAUUGUAUAGGUUGUGCAUGACGGUUACGUGAUAACAUAGAAAUUUUUAAACGUCCUAAAUCAUUUUCCAAUAUUUACCUUACCAGGAUGCUGUCUUACUGUAAGAGAGUAAGCCAAAGUUAAACACGCAAACCUACAUAUAAUUCUAAGGAGCAGACAUUUAAAUUAAUUAUUGUUUAUGUUGAAUAUUGCCGGUGUGUUAAACGUUAGAAAAUCAGUUAGGAUUUGGUGAACAUGGACAUUGAUAUUGAUUUUAUCGAUAGCCGGAAAGGUAGUGCAAAGGGCUCGAUUACUGUGCCCUCUAGAAAAGUUUCCGCCCUUGAGCCUGCAACAUUUGAAGAAGCCAUCACUGCAACCCAAUUUGGAAAGUACAAUGUGGUUUUGGGAUUUUUGGCGGGUAUCGCAAGUCUUUGCGCUGUUUUCGACACGUCCACUAUGUCCUAUACUUUUGUGUCUGCUCAAUGCGAUUUGAACAUAUCUCUAAAUGAUAAAGGUCUUUUAAACGCGGUCACAUAUGCAGGCAUGAUCUCAAGCGCUCUGAUCUGGGGGUUUCUCUUCGACGUGCUGGGACGAAGAAAACUGUUAAUUUUGGGAUUUCUUGUCGACGCAGUAUUUGUAUUUAUGAGCGUUUUGACGCAAGGAUUACCUCUGCUGCUUGUUUCCAAGUAUUUGCAAGGAUUUAUAAUUAAUGGUCCAUUUGCAGCAGUGAGUUCAUACAUUUCGGAAUUUCACUGCGCCAAAUAUCGGCCUAUUUACCAGAUGAUUAUUGGAUCAAGCAACAGUUUUGGCACUGUUUUACUACCCCUGAUAGCUUGGUUGAUUUUGCCACGAAAUAUGGAUUUUACCAUAGUGAACUUAAAUUUCCAUUCGUGGAACAUGUUCCUGCUAGUCUCCGGGCUUCCAGCAUUCAUUUGCGGCAUUCUGUUUGUAUUUUUCCCCGAAAGUCCGAAAUUUUUGAUGACUUGCGGCGAGAACGACAAGGCUCUGAAAGUGUUCCAGAAAGUGUACAGUAUUAACACUGGGGCGCCAGCAGACACGUUUCCAAUCAAGCAAUUAGUUGACGAAACUAAGUUGGACGUAGAUAUGAAGAAUGGCUCGCAUAUUACUGCGCAUAGAACUAAACAGCAAGCGCUGAAAGAAGGAUGGCAGCAGAUGAAACCGCUGUUUCUUCAGCCACAUUUAAUGAAGAUUGUACUUGCUUGUGCAAUUUUCCUAUGUGUUAUGAUGAGCAUGAAUAUGUUGCGAUUAUGGCUGCCGCAGAUUUUCCAAAUUAUGAACGACUACCAAAAGACCCACUUGGGAAAAUCGGCCAGUUUAUGCACCAUGUUGAGCACAGUUUCCUCGAAAAACCAAACAACAGAACACCGACAACGCCCAGGUUUAUAUCAAUUCAAUCAUAGUCGGGUGUACCUCGAUAUGUGGAAACGUGUCAGCAGCAUCUCUAAUAAGGUUUAUUGGCAAAAAGAAGAUUCUGACUGUUGCCUUAAUAACAUCGGGAAUUUCCUCGUUUUCACUGUACUUUGCCAACACUCCCGAAAUGGCAACCGCACUGUCUUCCAUCUUUAUAGCUGGAGGAUCGGUUUCAAAUAAUGUGAUGGUAUCAGUUGCAGUGGACAUGUUUCCCACUACAUUGAGAACAAUGUCCAUUUCCCUGGGAAUGAUGAUAGGGCGUUCGGGUGCCAUGAGCGGAAAUUUCAUAUUUCCCUACUUGCUGGAAAGUGGCUGUCAAGCCCCAUUUUUUGUCGUUGGGGGGCUCAUGUUUGCUGCAGCUGCUUUGUCGUUCGUUCUUCCCAACACCGACAUGAAACCUCUCACAUGAAAAGGAAAAGGUUCCCAGCACAAUGCGCUAACUAAACCAUGUACAGCUUUUGUUGGUUUUUAGCUCUAUUUAUUAUGUUUUAGUUCUGAUUUGAAGCAAAAUUCGAAGAUCAUUUCAUGUAAAUAAUAAGCUAAAAUUUAUAUUUUAAAUG
rnacentral:misc_RNA from 1 species